GAUGAACGCUAGCGGGAGGCCUAACACAUGCAAGCCGAGCGGUAGAGUUUCUUCGGAAACUUGAGAGCGGCGCACGGGUGCGUAACACGUGUGCAACCUACCUUUAUCUGGGGGUUAGCCUUUCGAAAGGAAGAUUAAUACCCCAUAAUAUAAUGAUUGGCAUCAAUUAUUAUUGAAAACUCCGGUGGAUAGAGAUGGGCACGCGCAAGAUUAGAUAGUUGGUGAGGUAACGGCUCACCAAGUCAAUGAUCUUUAGGGGUCCUGAGAGGGAGAUCCCCCACACUGGUACUGAGACACGGACCAGACUCCUACGGGAGGCAGCAGUGAGGAAUAUUGGACAAUGGGUGAGAGCCUGAUCCAGCCAUCCCGCGUGAAGGAUGACGGUCCUAUGGAUUGUAAACUUCUUUUGUACAGGGAUAAACCUACCCUCGUGAGGGUAGCUGAAGGUACUGUACGAAUAAGCACCGGCUAACUCCGUG
rnacentral:rRNA from 1 species